CAGCGUCAUGGACUGCAGGUACGUCUGCAUGUUGCCGAUGAGGAGCGCCAUGAGGAUGAGGCCCAGCAGCGCGAGCGUGAUGGAGAAGAGCUGCUCCCCCUUGUAGUGGGUCGUCUCCAGGCCCUGGCCGAUGGUGCUCAGGUUCUGCAGGCCCCACCAGAGGCAGAAGAGGAUCUUGGCCGUCAGGUUCUCCGUGGAGUAGACGCCCGACUGGAUGGCCGUGGUGUAGAUGCCGUAGGGGAACCCCGUGCCGCUGCCGUCGACGGGGGCGCACUCCUGCGCCAGCACCUGCCGGAUCAUGGUGCGCCACUCGAGGAAGCCCGACUGGCCCUGGCUGCCGCCGCCGCAGUACAUGUAGGUGCGGCACUGGUGGAAGUUGAGGUUGGUGCACUUGUCCCGCCAGCAGUCGUCCAGCCGCUCGAUGGCCAGCAGGUACCAGAAGGCCCC
rnacentral:misc_RNA from 1 species